CUACCUCUUCCCAUUCCGAACAGAGAAGUCAAGCCCACCAGAGCCGAUGGUACUGCGGUAACACGUGGGAGAGUAGGUCGGUGCCAAAU
rnacentral:rRNA from 1 species